CCUACGGGAGGCAGCAGUGAGGAAUAUUGGUCAAUGGACGCAAGUCUGAACCAGCCAUGCCGCGUGCAGGAUGACGGCUCUAUGAGUUGUAAACUGCUUUUGUACGAGGGUAAACCCCGAUACGUGUAUCGGGUUGAAAGGAUCGUACGAAUAAGGAUCGGCUACCUCCGUGCCAGCAGCCGCGGGAAUACGGAGGAUCCGAGCGUUAUCCGGAUUUAUUGGGGUGAACGGGUGCGUAGGCGGUUUGGUAAGGUAGAGGUGAACUGUCGGGGCUCAACCCCGAAACUGCCUCUAAGACUGUUGGCCUAGAGUAUAGUUGCGUUAGGCGGAAUGUCUUGUGUAGCGGUGAACUGCUU
rnacentral:rRNA from 1 species